ACGUUUUCCAACGCAGCAGUGUUUGGAAAGUUAUUCCAGAGAUGAAGGGUGUUGUGAUUGUGUACCCAAUAGAUGGCAGUAGUGUCCGAUUUUGUAGUUUAAACUCUCCUCUAAACGAAACGAAGCAGCUGACAUUUUUUUUUUUUUUUACAGUUCAGACAGUGCUUAGUUUCCGAAGAAGCCAGCAGAAUUUUGAGAAUAGAAUGUUUAAAAUGUAACAGUAGUAAAUGAAGGAUAAUAUAUCUGUCCAUGCUGCAUAUUGAUGGUUUCAUAACGUAAAUCUGUCAGCUGAAGAAAAAAGGGAGGCGUCACUGGAAGUAAAGCUGAUGGAGAGAGACAAAAAACUGAGCAGAGAGGUUUGUACAUGAACAAGAUUCACGUAAUCGUGAAUGAUUGUGCGCGCUCCUCUUUCCAGUUUUUCCUUUCUGAACUGAACUUCUUAAAUAGAUUUUUUUUUUAUUCUAUUCUAACGUUUCAAAUCGUUUCCAACUGAUUAUGCUUCAUGAUCUGUUUAUAGCCAGUGUAAACCAGUAACAAAUUUGUUCAAUAAAUUAAUAUAAAUGUCAUUUAAAUUAAACAUUGGCUCAUGCAAAGAUGAGUUUCUUUGCAGAUGAAGAGACCGCACUGCUUAAAUGUAUCAGUAUUUUCUAAGGAGAUAUUGUAAGGGUUAGUGGAAGCUUCAAGCAUUUCUGUCACACAUAAUGACCGAGCAUGUCAUUAUAUACAUGCAUUGCCACUGUGGUUCUUUGUUUCUUAGGCGAUGGAAAAGGUUUCAGUGGGUGUGACUGAGUCAGUCUGGAGCAUCAGAGAUCAGAGAUCCAGAAACACACAGGACUCAGAGACCAGCCUCAGUUUACUUUGUUACACUGACACUCAAGAGAGUCAUGAAUCCACUGAUCAGAUCUCUGCAGAGUCUUUGGGUUCAGACGGUAACGCUGAAGAAGAGCAGACAGCACUUAAGACGUGCACAGUGAAUCUGGAGGACUGCAGGAACCUAGCCAAGAUGAAAAGAGAAACCACAGCUGAUGAAGAACAGAGCGAUGAUGAUGAUGAUGAUGAUGAUGUUUUUAUUCCAUCAGUCUCUUCAUUGGACUCUGCAGUAUAA
rnacentral:lncRNA from 1 species